UUACGGCCACAUCAGUUGAAACACCGAUUCCAGUACGAUCACCGAAGUUAAGCAACGUUGUGCCCGGUCAGAUGGGUGACCGUUUAAGAAUACCAGGUGCUGUAAG